GUCACAUGUAAUGUGAAGGACAUUUGAUAUCAUGUACAGUCUGUAGAAAAUGAAAGUUAUAUAUUUUGAGAUUUACACUAUAUUACGAGUUUAUCAAGACCCUGGUGGAUCUAGAAAUUUUCAUAAAGUAGGGGCCUUCUCUAGUCAUUCUUCAAUGAUUCCACAGUGGCGGAUUCAAAAGCGCUGAAAGUACCUCUCUAAUAACUGUUUAUGUGCUGCUUAAAAAUAUAUUGCAGCACUUCACAGUUGCUUGAAAGGUUGAAAAUGUCAUCAUGCAGAAAUUAGAGCAGAUUCCUCAGAUUAAAAUCAUUGAAAAUGGAUAGAUGCACUGGUCCUGGUGGUAUACAUCGAUACAAUUAAUCUUAAUUACAUUUGGAAUGAAAAUUGUCUUCUUUUUUGGUUUCUUGCACGAUAAAACCAAUAUUUAAAGUGAGUCACUGGUUAAAAGUAAUGUUUAUUCCAUUCUUAAACCAAUGCAUGUAUAUCAUCAACUUAGUCUGCUGUGCAUUUC